GCGUCGAGGUCUUCAGACUCUUCACUGGAAAUCAGAAACUGCUCCACCAACUCUUACCCACUCCAAUCUCCAGAGUGCAGACGUACUCCUCUCCCCUUUGUUUCCCCUUUUCCUUUUCUCAAUCAAUCAAUCUUCUUCCUCUGCUCUUUGUCCCUCUCCUCUUUUCUUCAACACAAGUCAAUAUUCUUCUCUGCAUCUCUCUGUUUUUUGUUCGUCUCUCAAGUCCACUGCUUUCUCCAUUUUAAUUUUGUGUAUGCUGUUCCUGCCCCUUGAUUAAAUUUUCUUUUAUUCUCUAUUAAAUUUUAUUUGCUGUUCCAGACUUCCAGUUCAUCUCAAUCAGACUCUCAGGCAGACAGACACCCAAAAAGACUCCAAGUUUCACUAAUGCCGACUAUCCGGAUGAUUGGCAAUUAACCCUUUUUUGUAUUUGUCUUGAAUAAGACACCGAAUCAUUUUAAUCAUGUUUAAUGAUAUAGUGUUUGUGGGGUUUUAACUUGAACAGAUAUAGCAGUCAAUCUCACUGAUGGUAUGUUCAGAUGAAUAUACAACGGCAAGAAAUACCAUGUGCCAGAUAUUGCUGCAGUACUCAGCAGGACUUGGAGCGCCAGUGUUGAUCGAAUUAUUGUUCAACCUUGCAGUGUGCUUGACACGGAAAUGAAGUGCAAACUGAUUUCAGAGUAUAUGAUAAAGAUUUCAACUUUAUUUUUGGACGAAACAGUGCAAUGUAUUGGGGAAGAAGGUAAUGAACAUAUUGAAAAUGCCGUGCCAGUACAUUGUGAUGAUGAGCAAAAUGUUGAUUGAUCAUGAGACAACUUCCAAGGAGCUGCUACAAUUGGGCUGGACUCCAUGCUUUGAGCAAAUUCUACAUUGGCAGAUUUUGAGGAUAUCCUUGUUCUCGCAAUGGCAAGACUUUUCCUUUGGGAUUGUCCUCAACAUUGUUGGACUGACGGUACUGAUGAACGGUGCAGGUCAUAUUUUAUGUUUCAUAAGAUGGAUGUUCACCAGCUGCAGUUAAUAUUCAAAUACUUACCCAUACUUUCAUUUACAGAGAGUUACGUUUAUCAGUUGGAUACUUUGAAUGCGAAGCUACGUAAGUCACCAACUUAUGGAGUUCAGCUUGGAGAAAUAGAAUCCUAUGCGGUUUGCCAAACAGGGGGAAGAAGGGCAAUAAGAUCCUUGAAGAUGUUAGAAGCUGACCCGUUUCCCACUUAUUAUCCUACUUGAGCAUCAAGGCCUUCUCACGGAGCGGAUAAGAGAAGAGCUUUGGUUUGUUUGGAGUAGGGUCCUGGAGUCUUGAAAGAAAACUGUGUUGUCAUCCCUUGAGUGGAACUGAGAGUUGCGUGGGAGAUAUGAUGAGGGCUGUUCAUCUGAAAUCCUUUGAUUAUCGGGUACUUAAUCUUUUGCUGUAUCAAUUGCGGGGUGAAGAGCUGUUAUGAAGGUGAAUGAAUUGCAUAUGGAAUUCAUAUCAAUGUCAGAGUUCUUGAUUGAGCUAUCCGAUGAUAUAAGCAUGUACCAUGUGUUAUCAUUAAUGGAUGACAAAGUGAUGCUGUAGAUUUAACUAUGAGAAUAUAUGGAGCUUCGAGGGCACCAACCAUGCUGGUCAGUAAUGGUCAUUAUAAUAAGAAUACUUCUGCAAGCUCCAUGUAAGCUUAUUGGAAUGCUAGAUUUGAGCUUGGGCUUGUAAAGCCAAAUAUAGUUUUGAGCCAUCCAAUGGCAUUAUUGCUCAAUAAAUUGAGAGGAUAUGAACUUUGGGUCUUUUGAAGUUCCACUUUUGGACAAGUUCAACCUGUUGUUUUUAAUGUCAUAGAGGAUGGAUGGGCUUGUAAAAUUUGCUGAUUUGUAAUUCAUUCCAUUUUAUUGGAGUAACAGAACUGAGAGGCUUAUUUCUUGUCGGUAAGGUUGGUUAUUUGCCUUCUGUAAUCGGGACUAAUCAUGCUAAAUGAUUCAUUAGUUGUCUUGCAUUUUCUGUCCUAGGUUAUUGGUGGAUCUCUAGAGGAAUCAAAUGAAGCUCUUGCUAUGGCUGAAAUCGAUGCAAGACUUUUUUCCACGGUUGAUGCGCACCCAACAAGAUGCAAAGUGAAUGUUGAUACUCUUCUGGAUGCUGUCCUUAAGUUAUUGAAUGUGUGAGAAUGAGAAUGCAUGGAUACAUUUGUGAAGGAUUCAGGAAUUUGACGAGAGUGGGGAUCCCGAAAAGCAUUUUCACUCUCUUCUCUCAUUGGCUAAAGAGGGGGUUGAGAAAGGAAAGGUAGACUAAAGUGCUGCAUUUAGGAGAACAGAGAAAAGAUUACUUUCGAUGCAUAUAUCUUCCUCAAUUUUCUUAAUGCGACAAUUUAAUUUUUGUAAGUUGGCGGCAAUUGGUGAAUGUGGACUGGACUAUGACAGGCUUCAUUUUUUUUUUUUUUUUGGACUGCCUUAGAUGUCAUGGGAGUUGUACUACAUGCUUUACCUGUCAAAACUAUUUAUUUUCGGGGAAAGCCAUCCAUUGCUCGAGCUAUGUAAUUGCCAAUCAAGAGUAACCAUCUUGCCUGCUAA